rnacentral:rRNA from 1 species
CUGGGCUUGACAUGUCUCUGACAGCCAGGGAAACCUGGUCUCCCUUCGGGGCAGAGUCACAGGUGGUGCAUGGCUGUCGUCAGCUCGUGUCGUGAGAUGUUGGGUUAAGUCCCGCAACGAGCGCAACCCCCGUCGCAUGUUGCCAGCAUUUAGUUGGGGACUCAUGCGAGACCGCCGGUGACAAACCGGAGGAAGGUGGGGAUGACGUCAAGUCAUCAUGCCCCUUAUGUUCAGGGCUACACACGUGCUACAUUGGCGCGUACAGAGGGCUGCGAUACCGUGAGGUGGAGCGAAUCCCUUAAAGCGCGUCUCGGUUCGGAUUGCAGGCUGAAACUCGCCUGCAUGAAGGCGGAGUUGCUAGUAAUCGCGGAUCAGCACUGCCGCGGUGAAUA